CCUAAGUUAAGUUCUGAUGUUCAGUUUAGUCCCCGCUUUUAAAAAUGUCAACCUUUAGUCCCUAUGAUAUGAAAAAUGUAUCAAAUCAGUUAUAAAAGCGGGGACUAAACUGAACAUCAGAACUUAACUUAGAGAC
rnacentral:pre_miRNA from 1 species